rnacentral:rRNA from 1 species
UGAAACUCGCCUNUAUGAAGUCGGAAUUGCUAGUAAUCGCAGAUCAGCAUGCUGCGGUGAAUACGUUCCCGGGCCUUGUACACACCGCCCGUCACACCAUGAGAGUCGAUAACACCCGAAGCCUGUAGUCUAACCAUAAGGGGGACGCAGUCGAAGGUGGGAUUGAUAAUUAGGGUGAAGUCGUAACAAGGUAUC